rnacentral:rRNA from 1 species
UACGUAGGGUGCGAGCGUUAAUCGGAAUUAUUGGGCGUAAAGAGCUCGUAGGCGGCCUGUUGCGUCCGCUGUGAAAGCCCGGGGCUUAACCCCGGGUCGGCAGUGGAUACGGGCAGGCUAGAGGUAGGUAGGGGAGAAUGGAAUUCCCGGUGUAGCGGUGAAAUGCGCAGAUAUCGGGAGGAACACCGGUGGCGAAGGCGGUUCUCUGGGCCUUACCUGACGCUGAGGAGCGAAAGCGUGGGGAGCGAACAGG